GACGAACGCUGGCGGCGUGCUUAACACAUGCAAGUCGAACGGAGAGGCCCUGCUUUUGUGGGGUGCUCGAGUGGCGAACGGGUGAGUAACGCGUGAGUAACCUGCCCUUGACUUUGGGAUAACUUCAGGAAACUGGGGCUAAUACCGGAUAGGAGCUCCUGCUGCAUGGUGGGGGUUGGAAAGUUUCGGCGGUUGGGGAUGGACUCGCGGCUUAUCAGCUUGUUGGUGGGGUAGUGGCUUACCAAGGCUUUGACGGGUAGCCGGCCUGAGAGGGUGACCGGCCACAUUGGGACUGAGAUACGGCCCAGACUCCUACGGGAGGCAGCAGUGGGGAAUAUUGCACAAUGGGCGGAAGCCUGAUGCAGCAACGCCGCGUGCGGGAUGACGGCCUUCGGGUUGUAAACCGCUUUCGCCUGUGACGAAGCGUGAGUGACGGUAAUGGGUAAAGAAGCACCGGCUAACUACGUG
rnacentral:rRNA from 1 species